rnacentral:rRNA from 1 species
CCUCGGGCGGCUGCAGUGGGGAAUAUUGGACAAUGGGCGAAAGCCUGAUCCAGCCAUGCCGCGUGUGUGAAGAAGGCCUUCGGGUUGUAAAGCACUUUCAGUGGGGAAGAAAGCCUUGGGGCUAAUACCCUCGAGGAAGGACAUCACCCACAGAAGAAGCACCGGCUAACUCCGUGCCAGCAGCCGCGGUAAUACGGAGGGUGCGAGCGUUAAUCGGAAUUACUGGGCGUAAAGCGCGCGUAGGCGGUCUGAUAAGCCGGUUGUGAAAGCCCCGGGCUCAACCUGGGAACGGCAUCCGGAACUGGCAGGCUAGAGUGCAGGAGAGGAAGGUAGAAUUCCCGGUGUAGCGGUGAAAUGCGUAGAGAUCGGGAGGAAUACCAGUGGCGAAGGCGGCCUUCUGGACUGACACUGACGCUGAGGUGCGAAAGCGUGGGUAGCAAACAGGAUUAGAUACCCGAGUAGU